AGGGCGCAUGGUGAAUGCCUUGGCACUAGGAGCCGAUGAAGGACGGACCUAACACCGAUAUGCUUCGGGAGCUGUACGUAAGCUAUGAUCCGGAGAUUUUCCGAAUGGGUAAACCCAGCAGUUUUAAUCAACUGUUACCACUAGAUGAAUUCAUAGUCUAGUUGGAGGUAAACGCUGUGAACUGAAACAUCUCAUUAGCAGCAGGAAUAUAAAGAAAUUUCGAUUCCCUAAGUAGCGGCGAGCGAACGGGAACAGCCAAACCAAAGUGCUUGCACUUUUGGGGUUGUAGGACUGAACAUUUGAGUUACCAAAGAACUUGAUAGUCGAAGGAUUUGGGAAAAUCCGCCAUAGAUGGUGAUAGCCCAGUAGAUUAAAUCAAAUUCUCUCAGUUCAGGAUCCUGAGUACGGCGGAACACGUGAAAUUCCGUCGGAAUCCGGGAGGACCAUCUCCCAAGGCUAAAUACUACCUAGUGACCGAUAGUGAACCAGUACCGUGAGGGAAAGGUGAAAAGCACCCCGGGAGGGGAGUGAAAUAGUUCCUGAAACCAUGUGCCUACAAUAAGUCAGAGCGCGUUAAUGCGUGAUGGCGUGCCUUUUGUAGAAUGAACCGGCGAGUUAUGAUCCCGUGCAAGGUUAAGACUAAAAAGUCGGAGCCGUAGCGAAAGCGAGUCUGAAAUGGGCGUUUUGAGUACGAGGUUAUAGACCCGAAACCAGGUGACCUAUCCAUGUCCAGGUUGAAGGUGCGGUAAAACGCACUGGAGGACCGAACCCGUGUAAGUUGAAAAUUGCUGGGAUGAGGUGUGGAUAGCGGUGAAAUUCCAAACGAACUUGGAGAUAGCUGGUUCUCUCCGAAAUAGCUUUAGGGCUAGCCUCGGAAUUAGGAUCAUGGAGGUAGAGCACUAUUUGGACUAGGGGCCCGUCUUGGGUUACUGAAUUCAGAUAAACUCCGAAUGCCAUUGAUUCAUAUCCGGGAGUCAGACGAUGAGUGAUAAGAUCCACCGUCGAAAGGGGAACAGCCCAGACCAUCAGUUAAGGUCCCUAAAUGUAUGCUAAGUGGAAAAGGAUGUGGAGUUGCAUAGACAACUAGGAUGUUGGCUCAGAAGCAGCCACCAUUUAAAGAGUGCGUAAUAGCUCACUAGUCGAGUGAUCCUGCGCCGAAAAUGUACCGGGGCUAAGCAUACUACCGAAACCAUGGAUGCGACCAUUAGGUCGCGUGAUAGGAGAGCGUUCUAAGGGCGGUGAAGCAAGAUCGUGAGGACUUGUGGAGCGCUUAGAAGUGAGAAUGCCGGUAUGAGUAGCGAAAGAUAGGUGAGAAUCCUAUCCACCGAAUGACUAAGGUUUCCUGGGGAAGGCUCGUCCUCCCAGGGUUAGUCGGGACCUAAGUCGAGGCCGAGAGGCGUAGACGAUGGAUAACAGGUUGAGAUUCCUGUACUAGUUAAGUGCGUUUGAGCAAUGGAGGGACGCAGGAGGCUAAGAUGUGCAUUCUGUUGGAUUAGAAUGUCCAAGCAGUAAGUCUUGUGAAGAGUCAAAUGCUUUUCACUUUAAGGACAAGCUGUGAUGGGGAGCGAAAUUUAGUAGCGAAGCGUCUGAUGUCACACUGCCGAGAAAAGCUUCUAGUGAGUACUUAACUACCCGUACCGCAAACCGACACAGGUAGUCGAGGAGAGAAUCCUAAGGUGAGCGAGUGAACUCUCGUUAAGGAACUCGGCAAAAUGACCCCGUAACUUCGGGAGAAGGGGUGCUGAUCGCAAGAUCAGCCGCAGUGAAUAGGCCCAGGCGACUGUUUAUCAAAAACACAGGUCUCUGCAAAAUCGUAAGAUGACGUAUAGGGGCUGACGCCUGCCCGGUGCUGGAAGGUUAAAAGGAUGGGUUAGCUUCGGCGAAGCUCAGAAUUGAAGCCCCAGUAAACGGCGGCCGUAACUAUAACGGUCCUAAGGUAGCGAAAUUCCUUGUCGGGUAAGUUCCGACCCGCACGAAAGGCGUAACGAUCUGGGCACUGUCUCAACGAGAGACUCGGUGAAAUUAUAUUGUCCGUGAAGAUGCGGACUACCCGCGACAGGACGGAAAGACCCCAUGGAGCUUUACUGUAGCUUGAUAUUGAGUGUUUGUACAGCUUGUACAGGAUAGGUAGGAGCCAUAGAAACCGGAACGCUAGUUUCGGUGGAGGCGUUGGUGGGAUACUACCCUCGCUGUAUGACCACUCUAACCCGCACCACUAAUCGUGGUGGGAGACAGUGUCAGGUGGGCAGUUUGACUGGGGCGGUCGCCUCCUAAAAAGUAACGGAGGCGCCCAAAGGUUCCCUCAGAAUGGUUGGAAAUCAUUCGCAGAGUGUAAAGGCACAAGGGAGCUUGACUGCGAGACAGACAGGUCGAGCAGGGACGAAAGUCGGGCUUAGUGAUCCGGUGGUACCGUAUGGAAGGGCCAUCGCUCAACGGAUAAAAGCUACCCUGGGGAUAACAGGCUUAUCUCCCCCAAGAGUCCACAUCGACGGGGAGGUUUGGCACCUCGAUGUCGGCUCAUCGCAUCCUGGGGCUGUAGUCGGUCCCAAGGGUUGGGCUGUUCGCCCAUUAAAGCGGUACGCGAGCUGGGUUCAGAACGUCGUGAGACAGUUCGGUCCCUAUCCGUCGCGGGCGUAGGAAAUUUGAGAGGACCUGUCCUUAGUACGAGAGGACCGGGAUGGACAUACCUCUGGUGUACCAGUUGUGCCGCCAGGCGCAUCGCUGGGUAGCUACGUAUGGAUGUGAUAAACGCUGAAAGCAUCUAAGUGUGAAACACACCUCGAGAUGAGAUUUCCCAUUCCUUUAU
rnacentral:rRNA from 1 species